UCUUCUGCUUUUUUGCCUUUCAACUGCCCAUGUCAGGCUGUGAGUACCAGAGUUGACUUUGGGGAAGACUUUUGGACUUCUGAGAUGAAAAAGCCCAAUUCUCAGUGCUUUUGCCUGGUUCAAAGCAAAGUCCUUCCCUGCAGCAGCUGGCUCUAAGAGCUGACCCACAUCCACCACAUGCCCAGCACGGCCUGAAACCUGCUCAUUUAUAUCAACUCAUUUUCCAUCAGUCCUGUUUUCACAGGGCUCAUUUCUCCCUUUCUCUCCCGUUUGCUGCAGGGUUUUCAGGGAUGCUGAGGGUACCCUGCACAUCAGGUCUGCUGUCCCAGAGGAUGCAGGGAAUUACAGCUGCUAUGCCAGCAGCACACUGGGCUGGGAUGAGCAAGUGAUCACCCUGGAGUUCACUGAACCUCCUGCCAUCCUGGCAGUGACACCCAGCCUGAAGGUGCUGGUGGGAGAGGAUGUGACCCUGGAGUGCUGGGUUUCGGGGGCACCCCCACCCCACGUCGUGUGGUACAAAGGGGAGCAGGCCAUGGCCACGUUCCCGGUGGGCGCCCAGCGCGCGGUGCUGCGGCUGCAGGCGGUGCGGGAGGAGGACGCGGGGCUCUACGGCUGCCAGGCCCUUGGCGAGGCUGGCAUCGCCUUCGACAGCACCGUCCUGCACGUGGGCUCUGCCCCUCACUUUCCUGAGCCCCUGGGCGACAUGGAGGUCAAGAUCGGGGAGAGUGUGA